rnacentral:rRNA from 1 species
GACGAACGCUGGCGGCGUGCCUAAUACAUGCAAGUCGAACGCUUUUUCUUUCACCGGAGCUUGCUCCACCGAAAGAAAAAGAGUGGCGAACGGGUGAGUAACACGUGGGUAACCUGCCCAUCAGAAGGGGAUAACACUUGGAAACAGGUGCUAAUACCGUAUAACACUAUUUUCCGCAUGGAAGCAAGUUGAAAGGCGCUUUUGCGUCACUGAUGGAUGGACCCGCGGUGCAUUAGCUAGUUGGUGAGGUAACGGCUCACCAAGGCAACGAUGCAUAGCCGACCUGAGAGAGUGAUCGGCCACACUGGGACUGAGACACGGCCCAGACUCCUACGGGAGGCAGCAGUAGGGAAUCUUCGGCAAUGGACGAAAGUCUGACCGAGCAACGCCGCGUGAGUGAAGAAGGUUUUCGGAUCGUAAAACUCUGUUGUUAGAGAAGAACAAGGAUGAGAGUAGAACGUUCAUCCCUUGACGGUAUCUAACCAGAAAGCCACGGCUAACUACGUGCCAGCAGCCGCCGUAA